AUUGAACGCUGGCGGCAGGCCUAACACAUGCAAGUCGAGCGAGCGGCGGACGGGUGAGUAAUGUCUGGGAAACUGCCUGCUGGAGGGGGAUAACUACUGGAAACGGUAGCUAAUACCGCAUACCAUCAGAUGUGCCCAGAUUGGAUUAGCUAGGAGGUGGGGUAAUGGCUCACCUAGGCGACGAUUCCUAGAUGGUCUGGGAGGAUGACCAGCCACACUGGAACGGAGACACGGCCCAGACUCCUCCGGUAGGCAGCAGUGGGGAAUAUUGCACAAUGGGCGCAAGCCUGAUACAGCCAUGCCGCGUGGGUGAAGAAGGCCUUCGGGUUGUAAAGCACUUCCAGCGGGGAGGCGUUACCCGCAGAAGAAGCACCGGCUAACUCCGUGCCAGCAGCCGCGGUAAUUC
rnacentral:rRNA from 1 species